rnacentral:tRNA from 10 species
UUUAUCAGUUUCCCUGGUGGUCUAGUGGUUAGGAUUCGUCGCUCUCACAGCCGCGGCCCGGGUUCCAUUCCCGGUC